rnacentral:lncRNA from 1 species
UCCUAUGGGGGGUAAUGGGAUCCUAUGGGGUUAUAUGGGGGGUAAUGGGAUCCUAUGGGGUUAUAUGGGAUCCUAUAGGGGGUAAUGGGAUCAUAUGGGGUUAUAUGGGAUCCUAUGGGGUUAUAUGGGAUCCUAUAGGGGGUAAUGGGAUCAUAUGGGGUUAUAUGGGAUCCUAUGGGGUUAUAUGGGAUCCUAUGGGGGGUAAUGGGAUCCUAUGGGGUUAUAUGGGGGGUAAUGGGAUCCUGUGGGGUUAUAUGGGGGGUAAUGGGAUCCUAUGGGGUUAUAUGGGAUCCUAUGGGGUUAUAUGGGAUCCUAUGGGGUUAUAUGGGAUCCUAUGGGGUUAUAUGGGAUCCUAUGGGGUUAUAUAUCCCAUAUAAGCCCCUAUAUCCCAUAUAAUCCCUCUAUGGGGUCACUAUGGGGCUGGGGGGGGUGUUAGGGACUGGGGGGAUGCAUUAGGGACCCCUCCCCUCAAUGGGGUUAAUAUGGGGCGGGACCCCCCCCCAUAUCCCAUAUAAGCCCCCCCAUAUCCCAUAUAAGCCCUCAAUGGGGUCAUUGUGGGGCAGGACCCCCCCCAUAUCCCAUAUAAGCCCCCAAUGGGGUUAAUAUGGGGCGGGACCCCCCCAUAUCCCAUAUAAGCCCCUAUAUCCCAUAUAAUCCCUCUAUGGGGUCACUAUGGGGCUGGGGGGGGUAUUAGGGACCGAGGGGGUGCAUUAGGGACCCCUCCCCAUAUAAGCUCUCAAUGGGGUCAGUGUGGGGUGGGAUCCCCCCCAUAUCCCAUAUAAGCCCCCCCAUACCCCAUAUAAGCCCCCCCAUAUCCCAUAUAACCCCCCAUAUCCCAUAUAACCCCCAUAUCCCAUAUAAUCCCCCAUAUCCCAUAUAAUCCCCCUAUGGGGUCACUGUGGGGUGGGACCCCCCCCAUAUCCCAUAUAAGCCCCCAAUGGGGUUAAUAUGGGGCGGGACCCCCCCGAUAUCCCAUAUAAACCCAUUGGGACCCCCCCAUAUCCCAUAUAAGCCCCCUCAUAUCCCAUAUAAGCCCUCUAUGGGGUCAGUGGGGGGGUCCGGCCCCAUAUAAGCCCCCAAUGGGGUUAAUGUGGGGUGGGACCCCCCCAUAUCCCAUAUAACCCCCCAUAUCCCAUAUAACCCCCCAUAUCCCAUAUAACCCCCCAUAUCCCAUAUAACCCCCCUAUGGGCCAGGAUCACCUGAUCUGCACACACAGAAAUUCUGGAAAUGUGGAUCACCGUCAUGGGACAUAUAGGGGUCAGUUUAUAUAGGGGAGUAUAGGGUCUGUAAUGGGGUAUGGGGUGUAUGGGGUCAGGUAAUGGGGUAUGGGAGCAUCAAUGGGGCCACCAUGGUGCAGAUCAAGCCAGUACCUCCAU